UUUUUUUUUUUUUUUUGUUAGAAAUAAAGAAAAGAAGGACAUUAUGCCAAUAAGUGUCCACAAAGAGAGAUUCAUGAAAAAAAAAUGAAGAAAAAUAUUAUUAAGAUUUAUCUUAUAUUUCUAACUUUCAAUUGUAGGAAAUUACAGAUCAAACCAAUUCAAAAAUUUCAAGUCAAGAACCAUAUAAAUAUAUUUUAAUUUAAAUAAAUGUUUUAACUUUCAAACAUAAUUUAUUAUUUCAAACAAUUAACCAUGUUUCAAAUGAAGAUUUAAAAAGAAAUAUUUUGGAAACCAUCUCUAAAGAAGAAAAUGAUUUUGAAAAAAGUCUUUAAAAAGUUUUACAAACUCCAAAAAUAUAAACACCAAUUUCUAUUGAAUUUUGAAAUCAAUUGUCUAGAAAGAAAAAUUUCUCAAAAUAAAUAUGAAAUUUUAUAAAUUAAAAAAGAAAUUUCUCAAAUAAAGCAAAAUGAUAAUUUAGAUGAUUUAGACCUAAGGAAAAGAUUUUUUAAGUAAUCUAAAUGCUAAAAUUAAUUUAAUUUCAAGAAUAAGUUUUCAAAAAUAGUAUUUUUUAAUUAUUUUAAAAAUAUAAAAUUUUAAAAUUACUUUGAAAGCAUUGAUAGACUCAGGUGCAAAUCAAAAUUGUAUUCAAGAAUGUUUAAUUUCUACAAAAUAUUUUGAAAAAAUCACAUAGGUUUUUAUUAGAGCAAACAUAAAAAAAAAUAGAAAAAUUGCAUCAUAUGACAAAAAAAAAAUAGAAAUAAGCAGUCCAUAAUACAUUUUUUUUUUGCAUAUUGCAAAUAUGACAAAUAUGACAAGUAAUUAGAUAUAUCAGAUAAGACGGUUAUCAGGGCUAUUGGAGGGCUAUCCGAUUUAAAUUUACUAUUUUUGCAAUUUAGAAAAUGUAGUGUCAUUAGUUCUAUUACCAUAAAUUUUUUUUGCUAUUUUUGCAAACGCACCCCAAAUGAUUAAUUAAAUAUCAAAUUUAAACUUUCAAAAGUAUAUGUUUGUAAUAAAAAAUUUUGUUUCAAAAUAUAUUUUCUUUUAGUCAAACAUCUUCGCUAAGAAUUAAUUCUUCGGACACCUUUAACAAAUAAAUUUGGAGAAGAAAUGAUUUUUGAAUUUAUCUCUCCAAUUUUACCUCAUCAACUUUUAAAAAUUAUUGUUUUGAAAAGUGAACAAAUGAAAAGAAAAUAAAACAAACUAGUUUUCGAAAAUAAGAAAUUCGAUUACAAAAGAAUUGAAAAAAGUUUAAAAGAAUUUUCAAUUUAAAAUAGGAUAAAAGAAAUGGACACUUGCAAAAAUAGCAAAUAUAUAUAUAUAUAUAUAAGAUAAUAGACAUAUGUUACUACAUUUUCUAAAAUGCAAAAGUAGCAAAUUUAAAAGUCGAUUACCCUCUGAUAGCGCUCCGAUAGUCAUCUUAUAGUUGUCUAAUAUCACUAAUUUUGUCAUAUUCGCAAUAUGCAAAAAGUAGGUGUCGUAUGCUGUUUUUUUUUUAAAUGUUUUUGUCAUCUGAUGCAAUUUCUCAUUCAAUUUAAAAUUGAAAAGAAAUUUGUUCUAGUUCACCACAUGCAUUGUGGGAUAGGAAAAAACACAUAGUUGAUCUUCCAUAUUCUAAAGAAUUCAAAGAAUCGGAUAUCCCAACAAAGACUAGAUCGAUUCAAAUAAAUUCAUACUUGCUAACACAUUGUAGAAAAGAAAUACAAAACUUUUAGAUAAAAAUCUAAUAAGAUACUAUAAAAGUCUAUGGUCGUGUGUCGACUUUUAUGUCAAUAACGUCGUCGAAAAAGAGCAUGGAGUUCCAAGGUUAGUAACCAACUAUAAACCUUUAAACAAAGUCUUGGAAUGAAUUAAAUAUCUAAUUCCCGACAAACAAUAUUUAUUAAAAAGAAUUGCAAAUGCAAAAAUAUUUUUAAAAUUUGACAUAAAAUUCAAAUUUUGGCAAAUUCAAAGUUUCGAAAAAGAUAAAUACAAAACUGCUUUUAAUGUUCCGUUAAGACAUUAUGAAUAGAAUUUAAUGCGUUUUGGGCUAAAAAAUGCACCAUUAGAAUUUCAAAAAAUCAUGAAUGAUAUUUUUAAUGAUUUUCAAGAUUUUACAAUUGUUUAUAUUAAUAAUGUUUUGGUCUUUUCUCCAAAUAUAAAAAAGCAUUUUAAGCAUAUCAAUAUUUUUAUAGAUAUUAUAAAAACAAAUGGUUUGGUAGUCUCUCUACCAAAAGUAAAAUUAAUUUGAAACAAAAAUAAGUUAUUUGGGCUUUGAAAUACAUGUAGGAGAAUUUAAGCCGAUUCAGAGAUCAAUUGAGUUUGCUUUAAAUUUUAGGGCUGACAAGAACAAUGACAAUUUAUGAGGUUUAUUUUGAGAAAAUAGCAAAUUUAAUUUUAAAUUGUUAGAAUGGUAAAACUCAAAAAUCUGUAAAUAAAUAAAUGAAACAAUGUCUCAAAUGCCCCUACCCAAUUCAAAAUCAGUUCUAAAUACAAUUGUUCAUCUAAACCCCAAAUACCUUGUAAUUAAAUAACACAUCCUUGUUGAAAUUGUGCAUGUUUAGGUAUUAAAAGCCGAAAAGAAUCCAGCUUCACUACCUUCCACUUUCGUAGAUUCCACUAAAUCUUCAAAGUCUUCGAUUCAUUUGCUGAAAAGAUUGGAGCUUUAAACUUCGUUCUUCUCGAAACCUUCAAAGUUUUCAUACAUUCAGUGCAAAUCAAAGAAUUUUCUUCUUGUCAACCAUCUUUUUCAUCAAACCGAUUAUAGAUUCUUUUUUGUUUCACGCAAAGGUAAGCUUCUUCAACGGAUUUUCUUCUUCGCUCGUUUAAAUUACAACAACAAUAUAUCCGCUUGAUUUUUAGAAAAGAUACAAUGUAUGUCACAAAACCCCAACAACAACAAAGACACUAAAAUUCGACGGCUGACAGUGGCUGAAAGUUUUGGCAUAAUCGGUGAACGAAUGCAGAAGAAGAAAACCGGCGCAACUGGGCGUGUAGCGGAGGAGAUGUUUCUUUAUAGCUUAGUUCUUGAUCAACAUAAUGGAGGAGAUGGUUACAAAGGUGAGAUCUCGAUUGGACGAAGAACACUCGAACGGAGAUAGAAGUGUCAGCGGCGGCUAGGGUUUGGUGAAGUGAAGAAGAUGAUGAAUAGUAAUAAUAAUAUUAUUAUAUUAUUAUUUCCCUUAAAUAUCUUCCUUUUCCUUUUUUUCUUUUCCAAUUUAAAUAAAACAAAUCUUUUCUUCUCAAUUAAUUCUUCCAAAAAUAAAAUAUUAUUUUUAUAAAUAUUUUGAAUAUAAAUAAUUCGAAAAUGUUAAAUUUAUGUUUGCUAUUAUUUUGGAGAUAUAAAUAAUCUUAGCAUGAUUUUAGGGAUAAAAAUUUUAAAUUCAAAUUAUUAUUAACAUAACUAUUUUUAUAAAUUUUUAAAUCAAUUUUAAUAUUUUGACGGUUUCAAAUCAAAAUUUAAAAUCUAUUUUUAAAUAACAAUUAUGGAAAAUAGAUAAAGAUAUUAACAAGAUAAUCCUAAAAUUUUGAAAUUAUGUUUGACAUUAUUUUAGGAAAUCAAUCAAUACCACGAUUAUAGGGGAAGAUCAAAAUUUUCUUAGAAUAAUCAUAUAUAUAUCAUUAAAUGCAUCAUAAUUAUAGGGUAAGAUACAAUUUUAAUUUUAACAACCACAACUAAAUAAAUUGUUAAUUACUUGAUUUGAAACCUACAAACAAGAAAACUGGAAUAAAUUGUAGCUUAAAUCUAGGGAUGUUGAUUCAAUCAAAUUAUUUCGAAAAUAAAUAUUUAUUUAAUAUUUUUACACAACUGAAUGAUUUGCAAAUACAAUGUAUUCGUGAUUUGGGUUAUAUUCCAUCAUUACCAUCAUUUUAAUGUAGUAGACUAUAUCUAUCAGAUAAGAAUUUUCCUCUAUACAAGUAAAAUCGACUAAAAAUAUAAAAAAGUGAAAUUAUUAUAUUUAUAUUUGACAUAAUUUUAGGGAAGAUCUAAAAUUUAAAUUCAAAUUGUUAUUAAAACUAUAUCAUGUAUUAUUUAAUAAAUUGUACAAAAUAACAUGUUUAGUUAAGAUUUACAAAUUUGAAUGUUAUUUACAAAAUAGUGAAUUUGUGCUAUUUUCAAUAUCAUGUCUCGUUUUUUUACCUAUUGAAAUAAAUUGUAUUUGGAAUAUGUGAAAUCAAGAUGGUAAUGAACUACAUCUUGAUGACCAAAUUUUUUAUCUUUUUUUGUGUGUCCAAAAUCUGUUGAUUGGAAUAUGUUUGUAUAAUAGAUGACUAUAAGAUUUUAAAGAUUGUGGAUCACAAUUAUGAUGUAUUUGAGACUCUUACUAGAUGAAAAUAAACGUAGAUAUUAACGUAAUUUAAAAACACGUCUCAAAAUAAUUAUUCCUACCAUUGGCACAAUAAAACAAUUUUUAAAAAAUAAAAUAACAAUUAGACGAUUUUAGGGAAGAUAAAAUUUUAAAUUCAAUUUGUUACGAGCAAUACGUAUUUUGGAGGUAAAUUUUAAAUUCAAUAAUUUUAUAAAUAUUUUGAAAUAUAAAUAAUCAAAAAUGUUAAAUUUAUAUUUGCCAUUAUUUUAGGGAUAUCAAUCCAAUAACACGAUUUUAGGAGAAUUUACAAGAAUUUAAAAUCAAUUUUUAAAUGGUAGUAAAUAAUAUAUAAAGAAAAUGUUUCUAAUUUAAUGAUAAUUACAUAACAAGAUUGCAUUGUGUUAUGUUACCAUUUAUUCCCUAAAAUAAUCUUAACAAUUUAUUAUUAUUAAUAUGAUCAAUCCGAAAAUGGAAUAAUUGCUAUAUACAUAAUUAUAGGAAGAUACACCAUUUAUAUGAAGUUGUUAUUAUAUAAAAUGCAUAAUUUUAGGUAAAAGAUAUUAUUUUAAAUUCAAAUUUUUGAAUCUUCCAACGAACCUACAAUUAAGCAAUAGAUAAUCUGUUAUAAAUUUAAGGCAUGAAUCUAGAAUUUAGUUAAAUGAGAUCAAUAGAUAAAAUAAAUAUUUAUUUAAUAUUAUUAUAAAAUUGAAUGAUAUCCAAAUACAUCGUAAUCGUAAUUAUGUGUUAUGUUUUAUUGUUUUACGGUUCACAAAUAUAUUGUAAUUAACAAAAUGAUAUUCAUUCUAUCAAGGGAUAAAAUCGGUUGAAAGAUUCUCAAAAAGUAUAUAUGUUUUACAAUUUUGCUAAAAUUCAAAUUAUUUUUUAAAUUUGCUUUUUUCCAAACUGCACUAUCUUAUUUUGUAAUUCUCACAAUUUUCUCUAAAUUUUACUAAUCAAAUUCGAGAUAAAACCCAUCUUCAAAGGUUUUUGGACUGCCUAGAUUAUGUGCUUGAUUUCAUAAAGAACCUCAACCGCAUUUGCAAACCGUUGUACAAAAGGUUAAAGAAAAAUUUAAAACCAUGGUCUGAUAAGCACACCCAAAUUGUUCAAAAAAUUAAGUCUUUAGUCAAAUGAAUCAUUUGUCUCAAUCUCAUUAAUUCAAAAGCAAACCUUAUCAUUGAAAUUGAUGCCUCUAAUAUAGAAGAUGGAGGAAUCCUCAAAUAGUGUCUAGAUAAGACCGAAUCAAUGAUCUGACUCCACUCAGAAAUUUGGAAUGAUACACAAAAAAUUACUCAACGAUAAAAAAGGAAUUACUUGUCGUAGUUCUUUGUGUCUUAAAAAAUUCCAAGGAGAACUAAUCAAUAAAAAAUUCAUAAUCAAAACAAAUUCAAGAGCUUCAAAAUUCGUGUUAGAAAAAAAUGUGAAAAAUCUUGUUUCAAAACAAAUUUUUGCCAAAUGGCAAACCGUCUUGCUUUGAUUUUGAAGUUGUGCCUAUAAAAGGAUAACAAAAACCCCUAGUUGAUUACAUCUCAAAGGAGUUUCUAACUCCAAAACUCUCUCCUUUUUAAAAGCACUCGAAGAAGAAGAAUGAGUUUGGAAAAGGAAAGUGCAAGAUGAAGAGUAAACUCGACCUCUUCAAAGGGCAACCACCCAUCUCUUCUUCUUCUAAUUAUGCACCUUCACACAUGAGUGCAGAUCAAUAUGCUAUGGAUAUAAGGAAUACCACAGUAACCUAAUCCAGAGUAAGAUCAUCGGGCAUACGGACUGGAUCUCCCAUAGAGCCAUCAACUCCAUCUAGGCCUUCGGCCAAUCUCAUCUGUCCUUCUAGCGGAGUUGUUCCAAUGAGGCUUCCUACCUCUCCUUCAUCCAAUAGGGAGUCUUCCACUCCUCCUCUAACUUAUUCUCAUGCUGUCACUUUCGAUAAACGGUUCGUGCCAAGACCCAAGAUCAAAACUUAUUUUUAAAAUUCGAUCGUGGUCUAUGGUCCUAUCAUAGAACUCGAAUAUCAAAGUCUCACUCUAUAAGAGAGUUUAAAAAAUAUUCCCCCAAGGGCUUCAACUUCGAUCCAAAAGACCUCAAAAAAACAAGAAAAUUCUAUGAGUAUAUUUUAGCUGAUCCUUUAAAAAUUGCAUAUUCAAAAUUAAAAAAUUUCAAAGCAAUCAAUUGAUCAACUCAUUAGAAUCAAAAACAUUUUACAAAAAAAAUCAUUUUCAAAGCGUUUUGUUCCUCAAUCUUACUCCUUUCAAGAUUACAUCAAAACUUGGUUUAGAGUAUUUUAAUUUUCAAAUAGAAACCAUUCGUGGUUCUUUCUUUUUGUCAAAACGCCUACAAAAUUAAUUUUCCUUUAUGGUUUAUUCAAUGGUUGAAUAACUUUGGUAUUACCAACGAUAUUCUACCAACUCCAAUUCAAGAAUCAUAUUUUUAUUUUUCAAGAACAUUUCAAAAGAAUUCAUUUCAUAAUUCGAUGAGAUUUUGCCUUUAUUUUCAAAUUCUAUGGAUAUUUUGUUGGAGCUACAAUAUAACAUCAUAUCCUCAAUACAAAAUGUUAGUAAAAAAUCUGAAGAUCCAACGGUGGGAAAAAUAAAACUUUCAACAUGUCACCGUCAACACACGUGAAAGAAUGGUUUGUAAAGAACAACUAUUUACAAGACCUUGAUCAAAGAAAGAAUGCUGAAUUCUUAAAUGAUAAACCAAAGCUUCUUGCAGAACUUGCUCAAGCCACGACUGAUGUAGAUUUCCAAAGAUUACUAUUAACAGCAAGUAAAUGCUUCCUCAUCUUCAAAUCAAUCUCUUCCUCCAUAUAGGAAGUGAAGAGCAAGCAGAUCCAUAAUACGAUCUGGAUGACCCGUAUCUCGACUCACGACCUAUGUGAGCUCCGAACCCAUAUACAUGUUUCAAAAGGAAAAUAGAUUAUAUAUAGAGUCUUCUAAAAGAAGAUUUCUAUUCAAAUUAUUAUAUUAUAAAAAAUAAUAAAAAUAAAAUGUAUUUUCGCAUCCCUAGUAUAAAAAAUAAAUAUUGUUCUGUCAUCCAGAAAUUCAGGAAAAAAAUGAAGACAAUAAGUACAAUUCAAGAUCAAGUCUAAAAGCUAAAAUGAAAUUGUGUAUAUUUCGUAAAGUGUUAAACUACAUUUGAUGGUCGGGAUCGUAAGUGACAAUGUUGAAGUGCAGGGAGUCCAUUGGUCAGUCAAUAAUGAAGGUACCAAAUACGAAUAAUAGUAUACACAAUUACAACUUGAAAGGACAACAAAUAUUCUUGGAGAGUAGAAAGAAAACUUCAAUUUCUCCUUGGAUCAAUGGCCGACAAAUUCAUUUCCUGUUAUAAAUCUUUCCAUUUAUUAUGCAGAUAUAGUAAUGUUAAUAAUUAAUAUGUGUGAAUAAUAAAUACGUUAGUUACUAACUAUGCACAAUAAUUAUAAAACUAUUAAAGUAAAUUAUUAAUAAAGCAGUUUAUUAGGUGGUGGAAAUUUCCACACUUUAGUUUUGUACGAAAAUAUGAUUUCAAUAAUUAUCCACUACUUUCUAAUUUAUAUAAAUAAUUUUAAAAUUUUAGGAUUUUACCAUCCACCAAAUCUUACUCUGAACCAUUUUAUCUAGUUGAUUCGAUCUUAUCUUUUUUCUUCAAAAUUUUAUCGAAUAAGAGGUUAUGUUCUAUCUGAUUUGAUUUUAUCUUCUUUUUUUUACUUCAAUUGCGUUUGAAAUUCGAAGUCUAUAAAUAGACUUUCAAGUUGUAAUGCGAAGCAUGUCACGAAAUAUUAUUUAGCUCAUGAUAUUUUCACUGCAUUCUUUUCUUGUAAAUUAUCAAGCCUAAUUCUCUUUACAGUUAGCAUCAAGCAUGCAACUCAAACUCAAAACAGAGUGUACACUAUUUUAUUAUCUUUUAAUUAGUGAUGUAUGUUUAAUUAAAGUUUAAAUUGUAUGUGUAUAAAGUAUGUCAUAUAGAUUUAAAAUCUCAUUAUAAGUUGACAUGUCCACGCAUUCAAAAUAUGUUAUAAUGGCUAUAAUGUAUAGUGUGCAUGUUAAUUAAUUUAUAUGGAAGUUAUUAAUAUGAUUAAUUAAUUUUGAUUAAAUACGAUUUAAUAAAAUUAAUUAUAAAUUUAUUUAAUUUAAUUAGAAGUUAAAUAAAUUAAAAUCCAUAUUUAUUAGAGUCAUUUUUAAAAAUAGUAAAAUAAAUUAAAAUAUUUAUAAACUAUAAUAAAAUUUUGAAUUCUAUUACCGUAGUAUAUCAAUGAAUCAGUAAAAAUUUACUAUAGGUUGUAAAUAUUUUGUAAAAGCUACUAUUUUUUAAAAAAAAAAAUCCUAGUUUUAAUUUAAUUAAAUAAAAUUAAACUAAACUAUUUUUGAUUGAGAUAAUCUUAGUGUCAUUCAAAUUACUCACAAUAGUGUAUUUCAUGAACGAGCAAAGCACGUUGAGAAUGAUUGACACUUUAUUCGCCAUCAUCAUAAAGCAAAACUCUUCAUCUUCAAUUCAUCUCCACCACAGAACAACCAGCUAAUAUCUUUACGAAAGCUUUUCGUUCUCUUUGCUUCACUCAAUUACUUCACAAAUUCAAGUUGGUCUCUAUUCUAAAUUAUGAAAUUACUUGAUAUAUUUUUCUUAUCUUACUCUCUUUUUAUAUAUAAUUAUCUUUAUAUUAGUUCUGUAAUAUAGUCAAUUUUGGCCAUAGAAAUUACUUACCAAUAAUUUCAAAAAUAUGAUGACAUGAAUGCUAUCGUACAAUUCUCUCAUUUGUAAGAAUAGAAAAAAGAAAUCUACAAAUAUAACCAAAAAAAAAGAAAAAAACCGUCCAAUUCUCUAAUAGUCUAUUAAAUUAUUUUUAUGAGAAAAUAGUUUAAAUUAUUUGUUUAUUUUGGAAAAUUGGAUGACAAAACAAUUAGAAAAAAAAAUAGCUAAAGCACCUCUUCCUUGGCAAAUACGACAAAAUGAUACAUAUAUCAAAUGACUAUAGCUAUCCGUUUUUAAAUUUACUAUUUUAGUAAUUUAGAAAAUAGAGUGAUAUAAACCCUAAUUGUUUUUACUAUUUUUACAACACUUUUUUUUUUUUUGUAACAAUUUAUCAAACACUGAAAAAAUUAGAAAUAACAAAACAAAAACAAAUUUGGAUUGUGCAAUUAAUUUUCUUUAUUGUUGGGAGAUAAUUUUUUAAAUAAAAUAUUUAUUAUUAUGGAAUUUUUUAAAAUAUAUAACAAAAAUGUAAUAUAUUUAUAUCGUAUUGAUCAAAUUUGAAAACGAAAAAAUUCCAUAGACCUACAAUGAAAAUACAAAAAAUACCAUAGUCAAUAUAUGAUUAAUCAGUCACACGCACGCAUGUAAUUCUUGUUCUAAACGAUCAUGAUACACGAUCAUGUUGGAAAUGAUACACAAUCGUGUAGGUAAUAUCAACACAAUCAUGUAAUUAGUAUCAACAGGAUAGUGUAGUUUUUUUAACGAUGAGAAAAACGCUUCAAAUCUAAACGAUCGUGUUGACCACGCUAAACAGUCGCGUUGACUAUGGUAAGCGAUCACUUAGAUCAUAUCCACACGGUCAUGUAAUUCUUUUCAAAACGAUGGAAAAAUGGCUUCAAAUUUAAACGAUUGUGUUGAUUAGAUAAGCGAUCGUUUAGAUUAUAUUCACACGAUCAUGUAAUUCUUUUUAAACAUGGAAAAAGGACUCCAUAUCUAAACGAUUGUGUUGAUCAUCCUAACUAAGUGAUCUUUUAUAUAUAUGAAAGUAAUAUCUAAACAAUCUUGAUAUUCUAGAAGAUGAGUUGGAAGAAAGAAAUAAAAAAUAAAGAUGAAGAAAAAUAUAAGAAAAAAAAUCUGAAAGAGAAGUUGUAGAAAUCUGGAAAAGAAAAUGAAUAAAUCGAAAAGAAAGAGAAUGGAUUAAUUGUUCACGAUAUCAAAAGCAAAUCUAGAAUUUAAGAAAAUAUUUUACCAGCUUUAUGAACUUUUUGUUUUUGUUAGCAGUAAAUAUUUUGGUUUUUUUUAUUACAUUUAUGAAAAUGAGUAGAAACAUUUCUAAAAAUAGCAAAAUAAAUUAAAAUAUUUAUAAAAUAUAACAAACUUUUGUAUUCCAUCAAUAAUAGUCACAUAUAUAUUUCUAUUACUGUCUAUCAAUACCACUUAUAGAAGCGUAAUACUCACUAUCAAUGUUUAAUACUGAUAGAAUCUGAAAAUUUUGUAAAUAUCUAAAAUCACCCGAUACGUCAGAAAUAUUUUGUUAAAUUUGAUAUUAUUCAACAUGCUUCACGUCAUUUCAAACUAUUCAGGACAAUAGUUAUAAUGCAAACAUUUAAUUCAAUUAAAUGCAAACUGUUCGGUGUAUAUAUAUAUAUUUAUGAAUUAACCAGCUGUCCUAAAACAUAUAACAUUUGUCACUCACAGCCCCACAACCAAUCCUCUCAAUUAAGACACUUUGAAUUCAAAUUCUUCCCUUUCAAUUCAUGAUUCAUCUAUACAUAUAAAUAUAAGGGGAAAUUUUUAAUUUACCUCUUCAUUUUAUAUAUUUUAUUUAUUUAAAUCUAAAUUAAUAAUUAUAUAUGAUUUAAUCUUUAGCUUCUGUAAAAAUUUCAAUUGACACUACUUUUAAGAUUUGAAUUUUGAUCAAAGUUGCAUGAAACAUAUAAUUGUUUAUGUUAAUCUUAAAUUAUAAUAACAGAAAUAAUUUAUAUCCUUUAUUAAGAUUAAAUAAAUUAUCCAUGUAUUUAAAUCUUCCACUCUCGAAAUAGAAUUUAAAUGUUAAAUUUAUCAAAUAAAUAAGUAGGAGUUCAUGUAUGAAUUUUGUUAAACAAAGUAAUAGAAUAUCUAAAUUGAUUUGUUUAUAGACAUUAUAAAGAUAUCUAGAAACGUUUAAUUGAUGCGAAGAAGGGCACCAUACUAAAGUAUUUAGAAAAAUAUUAGUAAAAUAUCACAUCGAGUGAUAUACUAUUAAUAAUAGUAUAAUGUAAUCUAUACAAAAGUUUUUUUUUUUUUGUUUAUUUUAGUAUAUUUGAAAACAAAUUGAUAUAAUGGUUAUGAUACCAUCUAUAAUUUAAAUUUUAAGGGUUUAAGACAAACUAUUUAUACUUUAUAGAAAAAAUUACUGAAUAUAACUUUCCAAAUUUUUAAAAAUCUACUUUGAUUAAAUUUAAAUUCAUAAAAACUAACCAAAACUAAUUCAUAAAAACUAACCAAAACUAACAAACCAGGUUAAUAGAACUAAAGUAAAUCCACUCUUUACAUAUCUUAAUCAACAACGAGAAGACUUACUUAUUUUUGUAUAUGUUUAGAAGGAGCUUUUGUAAAAAUACUUAUUUUGUAUAUGUUUAGAAGGAGCUUUUGUAAAAAUAGCAAAAAUGUAUGAUAAUAGAAAUCAUGUCAUAAGAUUUUUUAAAUUUAUAAAAUUUGAGGGAUAACUGCCUCAUAGUCUCAUACAAUUACUGUCUGUUAGUCCUACAACAACUCUUGCAACAACUCUAGAUUACGGAUGAUUAUCGUUUAAUAGUAGUCUGAUAUCAUUAACUUUGUCAUAAUACGUCAUAUUCGAAGUAUGCAAAAAAAAUAGUGUUGUCAAACUUAUUUUGAAAUAUUUUUGCAAUUUUUCUUUUUAUAAAAGACAGCAUGAAAAAAUCUAGUAAGUUUUAAUAAAAAGCAAAAAUCUUCCCUAACAAUUUUUUUUUUUUUGGUUGAAAAACUAUGUAAGUUGGAGACAUAAAGAUAUUUGCAACCUAAUCAUCACCAAGAUAUUGUUCAAUUUUACUUUACAGCAACCUAAAAAAGAGAAAAAAGGUGAAACAUUUAACAAAGAAAACACCAAUCUAAAAAUAUCUUUAUAGAAACAUACCAUACCUAUUAUUUUAAUUCAUUAAAAGAAAAAGAAAAGAGAUAUAUGAUCAACAUGAACCUACUUUAAUAACUUUCUUUUAUUGUUUUAUUCAUAGGAAUAACUAUAAAAUUAUUCCAGCUUAAUUUCCACACAUAUGGCCAAAAGAAAGACCCUCUAACACCUUGGAGUGGGAACACCACAUUUGGAAGCAACAUGUUUGGCGCCAGGAGAAUUCACAUAAGGACUCAAAGCUGGGUUCUUUAUGUACCCGCAAAGACAUUGUUGCUGCUCUCUCAAUUUGCUGCAGCAAGUGGCGGAUGGGUCUGCCAUCGACGUGAUUGCCCUGGCACAUGAGCUCAGCUCCGAAGGUCUGCAACUCACCGCCUCUGCAACACGAACUCCGCCAAGAACGGCCAGCACGAAAAGACAAACAACUGUGACUGGAAGAACUUUGUUCAUUGUCUCUUGGUUUUGAUAGAAAUCAGUAAUGUUUGUUGAAGGGAAAGGGAAAAGGAAAAGGAGAAAGAGGAAUAAUAUGGCUUUAAUUGUCUGUUUUUCCCCCCAACUCUUUUUUGUUUGUAUUUAUAGCCACAUAAAGUUGGAAGAGUUGAUAAAAGGGCCAACCCUAUUAUUAAUUUCUCAUUUCCAAUUUCACCUACUUUUCUCUUUGAUUUUAAUUGCUUCCAACAUCCUUUUCCAUAAAGUUAAUAUUGUGAUGAUAACAAUUAACAAAUAUUGUUGGCAUUGAUUUAAAUGUUGGGUUGCUCUACACGUUUGAUCUAUUCUAGAGCACAAAAAUUACCACAAUUAUUUUAACAUUUUUUUGAAUUAUCCUAAAUCAUAAAAGGAAUUAGAGACGAAUAUAUUUUGCUUGUUUUUAUUUCUUUUUACAAUGGUUUGGUAUAAAUAUGCAAUACAAGAUAAUAUUAAAUAUGAAAAGAUUGGGAUAUAAUCAAAUAUACAAUUUGGGCAAAAAUAAAGGGCAGAAAUUGAGGAGUAGAUUAUGAAGAGGAUUGUGAUUUUGGAAAAUAUCCUCUAAUAUCCUCCCUCAGAUUGAUGACUCAAAAUGAGUCAAUAGUUUGUCUCGGAGUUGUAGAAGUGUUGUAGAUGAGAGUGACUUUGUUUGUAGAUCAACAAGUUGAUCGUUGGAAGAGAUGUAACAAAUGAAAGUUUGAAAAAAGUGGUAAUCAAUCUCAAUGUGUUCAGUGCGAGCAUGAAACACGAGAUUAUGAACCUGAGAUAUAGCUAAAACAUUAUCACACCAUAAGGUUGUUGAAGAUUUAAAGUGGAACAUGAAGAUCACAUAGAACUUGUCGGUUCCAGUAAAGAUCUGCAGUGGUAGUGGCGAGUGAGCAAUUUUUUGCUUAUGUGGAAGAACGUUAGACUGUAGGUUGCUUUCUAAAAGACCAAUAGAUAUGAUUAUAACCAAGAAAGACAAUGAAUCCAUAGGUGGAAUGUCGAUCAGAAGUGUCGCUAGCACAAUCAGAGUCAUAAAAGGUUUAUAGAUAUAAUUAAUGAACCCAUGCAAAAUUUUAUCCCAAGGGUUGAGUACCACAUAGAUAUCGUAGGAUGCAUUUGAUUGCAGAGAAGUGAAUAACAGUGGGUUUGUGCAUCAAUUGACUAACACAAUUUAUAGAGAAUGAAAUAUCAUGGUGAGUAAAGUAAGGUAUUUUAAUGAAAGGAGUCAGAUGGAUGGGUCAUUAAAUGACAAAACUGUUGAAAUUUAUGUCAUAAAACUCGUAGUUUGUAGUUUAAAAGUAUAUUUUAUUCAAUAAAGUGGUUAUUGAGGAUUUAUUAAUAGAAUACUAUAAUCUUGAAUCUAAAUAAACUAAGGUCCUUAUGCUACCUAGUGUAGACUUGAAUUUACAUAAAUGUGGAUCAAGUUCAAGUAUAUAGCCCAAAUGGUCUAUAGUGUAUGAAUAAGCCUUAUUCUUGUUGUAGUUAGUACAAACGAUAUGAUCCUGAAUCGUUCAUGUAGAGACCAUGGAAGUUGGAGUAUCCUAUGUACAAAGUUUACAUAAGACUGAAAUCAUAAAAUAAUCACUUUUAAGUUAUAACACCAUUGAUUGUAUAAAACUGACUAUUUUGUUUAUUGAUGACCCAUGUAACUUAAUCUUAAUCCUAAGUUAACUAUGAACUUUGUUCACACGAAAUUAUCCUUAGAUCUGCAUAGGUGAGGUAGCUCAACGACACUGACACAAUAAGCCUCCCAUUUUAGGAGUAAGAUUGGGUGGAUGGCUAGGUGUAACGAUCCAAACUUUUCAAACUAAACUGAGGUAGUUACUUUAAUACAAAUGCACUUCUUUUAAACAUGAGUGUUUAUAAAAUAUGUUAAAAUCAAUAAACAUCAAAUAAAUCUUUAUUCAGGCCCUAUUUCAAACAAAAUUAAAGGUUCGAAAUUAUUGUUUAUAAAAUCAAGAAAUAAAUUGUUGUGCUAAACAUGAAAUUCGUUUCAGUCACAACUACUAAAGUAAAACAAAAGAAAACUGUAAGCGGAAGCUAUUUUAAAGAAAAUCCUCCUAUGGCGAUCACGUCUCCUUCUUAUUCCUCGUUGGUCGGUCUCUUAUAUUACUUUUGCCUGAAAGUUAAACAUAAAAGGGUGAGUAUAAACAUACCCAGCAAGAGACACACUACUGGUCCCACUAGGGUAAAAUUAUUAACUUUCUAUUGGAAGGUACCAUGUAUCAUAACAGUCUUGUGAUCCCGUAGGAUGCACAUAAUUAAUCUAAUGCUCAUAAAAGAUGCACAUAUCAGUCUAGUGCUCCCGAAGGAUGCACCUAUCAGUCUAGUGUUCAAAAGGAUGUACAACAGGUGGUGAUCCCGUGGGGCACCUGCAAGACACACUACCCUACAGAUAAAGCUAACAGUUUCCCUCAGUCCAUACUAACAUUUAAAACAGUCAACUCAACUUAGAAUAUAAACUACCAUUAUAUCCUUCUUUCAGCUCAACACAUAUACAUUAAUUUACCCAAACCAAUACAUAAUCAAACAUCAUCAGAACAGUCCCUCAAAUAAUUAAAUUUAUACAUAAGCGUCACUCACCUCAGUUCAGUCAAUUCAAUCUAGUUUGUCAAUUCAACCUACAUUACACUACCUAUGCCUUAACAUAACCGUCAACAACCCACAAUCUAAUCAAUUCGAUAUCCUCAGUUCAGUCAUCAAACUAAUUUUACAUAUCGGUCAACUCAUCUCAGUUCAAUAAAAUUCAUAUAAUAAACAGUCAUCAAAUAUAAAUUUGCUUAUCAGUUAGUCCAUCUAAGUUCAGUGGAAUCCAUAUAGUCAAUACAUCUUAAUUUCAUCAUUGAGUCCAGUAGUAGGAACCCUUACCUUAACUUCAUUUAUUCCACUAAAGUUCAACAAAAACAACCUAAACAUAAGUAAACAGAAAUCAAUGACUUCCAGAAACAAUUUCAUCUAUUCAAUUCAUCCUAUAUAUAUAAUUUCCACAACUUACCCAAAACGUGGAGAAUUGGAGUCCAACCCCACUCAUUUGAAACUCAAGGAAUUUAAGUGUUGUCCACAAUUUGCACCUUGAAGAAACAAUAUCAAUCAAUUUACUAACCCAACCAAUAUUGGUUAUUGAAAACAAUCACCAAAACCCAAAACUACACCCUUACCACAAACCACAACAAGGUAGAAACAACGGCUUUCGAAACCAACACAAAAGAGAUUGUGCAAAAUAGAUAUGCGUGUGGGUUGGCUUGCAACUCGUAAACGGACAACAGAUGUAGACGAAGGCAGAUUGAUUCGAAUCUUCAACAGCAGCUACGCGCAACGGAGAAUUCCACUAUCUCCCUAGUUCGUUUUCAACAUAUUCUUAUGUGAAAUUUAUUGUUUCAAUUCUUUAUUGCUUUGGUUUAACACCGCUUUGGAUUCUUUGCAGCAAAAGGUGGUAAAACCCACUACUUUAGAAGCGUCCCAAACAGUUUGGAAUCAGUGGAGCAUUGCCGUCCAAGAGGGAUCUCACUCACUUUGUCAAAUGGCCCAAAGUUGUUUAAAUUUAGAGAAAAAAUAGAAUUUUGAAGCAGAGGCUAAAAAUUCCACCAACAUUGAAUCUGUUCUAUUUGACUUUCUUUUUUCUCUUUUCUUUCUUGUUGUCAUCAUCAAAAUUUUCAACUAUACGUAUAAAGACGGAGAUAUUUUAUGUGGACAACUAUACGGCCGUCCGAACUACUUUUAACUUAUGUGGCUGGAUCUAAAACUUAGAAGAUUGUCCAAGUUUUCUGUUGAACAAUGCAUGUACCAGAUUUUGUGCAUUCCCAACAUGAUACAUUCUUAUGCUAUGUUGGGAAAGGGGGUUCUCUGUUUAUAAUCACAAUCACUUUAGCCCUUAUUUGGGGGUCAAGGUUGCCUUUCACUUCUCCUCCCUCAUUUUGUAUAAGGGCAAGUAUUUCUUUGUCUAAAAGGGUUCAAACUCUCCUACUAUUAUAAUCAUUCAACAUUCUCUGUAAUGAUCAAUUCUUUAUUCCUCUUAGAUUUAUUAGGUUUUACUUUUAAUUGCUGCAUAUAGUUCUCUUACCUUCGUAUAGACAAAAAGGUGUUUCUGAGAGGUUUUUCUUUGAUAAGUUAAACGCUUGUAUUUUGUUGGAUUUGGCCUAUGGUAUUGAAAAUCUCAAAUCAAUUGAACGCAAUGUCUUGUUUACACAUUUGAAUUGAAACUUUCCUAUACCUAUAUUAUACAUAUUUUUUCUAUUCUUUCCCACAAAUGUGUUAUAUCGACUUAUCUAUUCUACAUAAUUUCACGCAUGGCUAGCACGAUGUUCCCGUUUUCAAGGGAUGCCAAAAUUACUUUUCACUCAUUCUCGUAACUCCAUUGACGGAUAUAUUUCCUAAACCUAAACGGAUCUGCCUGCUCAUGCAUUUCCUAAUCAUGUGAUAAUGUUGAAUCUUCCUUUAUUAUAUAUAUAUAUUAUUGAUGUAAUUAAGAAGUUAUUUAAUAGUAAUAAGAGUUGUUCUUUAAUAGAAAUAUGUACGUUCGUAAAAUGUUCAUAUAUAUAUAAAUGGGUUCAAAAUUUGAGGUUACAAAAAAAAAAUGAAAUAAAUAAUAUAAGGUAUUUUUUUAAAAAAAAAUCAAACCCGCGAUGCCAUAUGUAAGCGUCGAGACUUGUAUAUAAGAUCUCCCGACGACUAAAGAUGGCGAACUCCCAACAUCGUAUACAGUAUCUUCCCGACGCUGCAUAUCUUAGUGUUGUAAAGGCUUCUUUUGAUGCAUUUUAUCCGAGCACAGUUUUGACAGACAUUUUUUGGGAGAUCCUUUUUCAACUCUUUUUUCGUAUAUCUCCCAACGAUUGUGUGCGUUGGAAGACCCCUCAUUUUUUUGUAGUGAAUUUGUAACUCGAAUACUCUUAAUAAAAUUUCUCAAAACUUGUUCUUAAUGUGGACGUAGACCAAAUUAGUCAACCAACUUAUAUCCUUGUGUUCGUAUUCUCUAUUGGUUUGUGUAUUUUAUGGCUAUUGCAUUAUGCUUGGGUUGUGUUAUUAAUUAAUUUAGUCCAUUAAUUAAUACAAAUAAUCAUGUCAGUUUUUAUUCAAGAGUUGAUUGGGCUGCACUAUAUACGAUCCAAAUGAAAAAGUUAAUUCUACGUCUUUUACUUCUCUAGAUAUAUUUCACAUUCUUUUAUAGUAAUGCCAUUACAUAUUUGUAUAAUGAUAAAAAUUGAAGCAUAUAGAACAAAGAAAAUACCAGAUCACUUUCCUUUUUAUUCAUAGUCGUUUGAUAUUGUAGUAUAGGCUAUAUAUAUAUAUAUAUAUAAGAAAAGUCCAUUACAAAGCAUGACCUCUAGCAUUUGGGAUAGGGAACACCACAGGAGGAAAUAAUAGCUUUUGCUCGAGCAGAUUUCACGUAACCUCCCAAGCUUGGAUUCUUCAUAUACUGACAAAAGCAUGGCUGUUGCUCCCUCAGCUUACUGCAACAAGUGGUGGACGGUGCCCGUCGAUGUCAUUGCACCAAUGCAUGGACUCAGCCCAUGGUGUUGCAAGUUAUCGCGUCGGCAACACGAGCUCCAGUGAGAGGGCCGCCAUUGCCACCACCAAAAGGGGAAGACUUGUGAACCCAAGAUUUUUCAUUAUUUUUCUUCUUUUGAUAUAGAAAUGAGGGAUAGGUUUCUAUUUGCCGCACCUUCAAAACAACGUUUUAUAACCUCAUAAAGUGGAAUGUGAGCACCUCACUUCUAUACCAACUUCUCUGUUUUGGCUUAAACUUUUCAAUAAAAUUAAUUUCUGAGUUGUUAACUUUCAAUAAAAUUAAUUUCGAGUUGUUAACUUUAUGAUGGUAACAUCUAUAGUUUGCAUUAAAUAUAUGGUUGGUGGUGGUAAUAGUGACAAACUCCCAACUUUGGAACAGUGACCAAAAGUUCAUAUAAAAAUUAUUUUAAAUACAAAUAAGUACACAAUUAUUUUUUGGAGUUUAAAAAUAACAAAAAAAAUAUAUAUAUAUAUAUAUAAUAAAAUCUUAAAUUGUAAAAAUAACAAAUUUAAAACAGAUAAUCUCUAAUAACUCUCUCGUAAUCUUUUGAUAGAUUUUUUUAUAGUUGAUAUCAUUAAUUACAAAAAAACUUUUUCUAAAUUCUUUUGUCAUCUAAUAUAAUUUUUUUAUUUUUUCUAACUAGAAAAUAUUAAAGCUUUUCACCAAUAUUUGAAAGUUAGGAGGUUGGAAACUUUUACCUUGAUUAGUAGCAUAUGCCUUACAUACUGUUUGCAACAUUUUCUAUAUUUUCUUCUAAUAUUAUCAACUAACAACAAUUCUAAUCGAAGUCGGUAUGUACAAGAAUUUGUUUUACAUUAUUGUUUAAAUACCUGACAUUUGGUUUUUUAAUAUUUCAUAAUUCCAGAAUUCUAUGUUGAAUUUGUGCUCCUUAAUUCACCAAUCUUUGAUCUAAAUACAUGAAUCUUAGGAUUACACGAAUCGAGAGUCCUAUUUGUGGAUCUAAAUGUAUGUAUUUUCUUGGUUGCAUUGCAUUAAUUUUGGCCUUUAUGUUCUUCGUUUGCAUUUUAAUUAAUUGCUUUGCCGGUUGAGUUCACCAUGAACAGGAUUAAGAAACGUAUAACAAGGGUCGUAACACAACGGAAUUUUUUAGAGAAUCUGAAUGAAUGAGUAGAGAAUGUGGUAAUAUUUAAGGUUAUGGUUGAUGCAGAGUAUUGGGAGAACAGUCGACCUCUGGAGGGCCAACAUCCAGUGAGCCUGCAGCAAGAAAAGGAUAUUUCUUUAGCUGGGUGAACAAUUUCUGUUUCCGACGUAACAAAAAUGUCAAUAAAGAUGAUUUAUGUUGAUGGAUUUUCUAUGCAAAGGUAUAACACCAUGUUUCGCGUAAGAAAAAUAUAUCCUUGGAGAGAGUUGAUUGAUGUUAGUGAAACCCAUGAAGUUUGGGUUUCUGCCGACACAAGUUUUAAUUUCUGCUUAUGCAAUUUGUGUGUAGAUUAUUUCAAAAAUAACAUGUUACCAACUGAAAACUACGCAAAGUUUAAUUCAUUUUAAUUAAAUAAAGAAAUGAAAUCAAUAAAACAAUCUAAACAGAAACCAAAAUGUUUAGUAAAAUAUAAUAACCAAUCACCAAAAAAGUAAUUUAUUUGGACCAAUCAUGAGUUUAGGAUAAAUCUAUCAAUAGACAUGUGGCUCUAAAACAUGAAAACAAAAAUAAAGUAGCGAAAGCAUUGUCACAAUAGUUCCAAAUGGCACAAUCACAAUCGUAGAUCCUUCUUACCGGCCUUGUCUUUGUUUGAAAAAUUGAACAAAUACCCAGUAAGAGAUCAGUCUAGUAGUUCAUAGAGCACACAUCAAUAGUAAAAGUUAUCCACUUAAUGCACUACCUAUAAGUGGGGAUCCUAUAGAACACUAUACAUAUAGGGUAUAUAUUAACCUAAUAAUCAAAGUUAAUAGUUGUCAUUAGUUCAAACACAUCCUAGUUUAGUCAUUCUCAAUUCAAUUCAGUCAUAAACAUAACAUGUAAAAUAUAUUCAAUAACCUCAUUCGUAACCAUCAUGUCUCAAGUAUUUCAUUAUGAGUCAUCAAUUAAAUCAGUCAUACUAUCAAUGCCUAUUAAACCAACCCAAUAUAUAAUCAAUAAUAAUCACAUUAUCAAUCUCAGUCUUACUCAUGUCGAGGAUUUGGUGUAAUAAACCCCUUACCUUAAAUUAUAGAGUUUAGGGUGGCAACGUUGUUGCUUGAGAGAAAAUUUUAUGUUAACUUCGAUUGAAAAUUCAUAACUAUUAGGAAAAUACACCUUACAUAAGUCUCUGUGUCUGUUUUACCUUGGUUUUUAGUGUUUUAACUCAUAAUUAUGAAUAAAUGAAGAUAUUAGUGAAUCAUAUAAGAGCCCAUGCAAAAGACUACGCGAGAGAAUAUUGUCUGGUGAGUAUAAUUCUGAGGUGAGGAAUUACGUCAUCACGCGAGAAAGGUUCACUAGAAGACAAGAAUGGUAGUUGGGGUUGAUGUAACUUGACAAAUGCUACAAUCGACACUGACAUGAUCAGAAGAAUAGAUGUUUUCCAUCGAAAGAUGCCUAUAAAAAGACUUCAUCCUUACCAAGUAAAGUGGUCGACUUCGAAAAGAGUCAAACAUCUAAAUGGAUCGACCAAACCCUAAAAGUGGCGGAAAGGAGUAGUCUUUCUGUCCUCUGUAAAAAGUCAUUCUUCUUCUUCUCUGCACCCUUAAAAAGAAGUUUUAUAAGUCUUGUAAGUAAACACUUUUAGAUAGAUCCGUCUUAACCAAGUUUUAUCAUUUGUAUCUCGAGAAGGCAAGCUAGUGUGAGUUUAAGGCACUGAGAGGUGCUCAACUUAAUUAUAAGCUAGAUGGCUUAAUUGCCUAAUAACACGAAGACCUUCCUUGACACUUUUUAAUACAAGUUAGUUCACAUUUUCAUCUCGCCACUAUUUUUGUCCCCUUUUACAUAUUCUAGUGUAGAUAGUAGAUUUAGCUUAGACUUAUUAGAUAGUUAUUUUAUACCGACUAGAUGAAGAGUGAGCCUUAUAACUAAUGUUUUGUAUCAAUUCUCUAUGUUCGACCAUGAAUUAUCCAGAAAACCUAUUAUUUCGCUUCAUUUUUCUGUCAUACAGGGUAAAUACUUUCACUUUUUCUUAUUCAUGUAAAUUUCUCUUGAUAGCAUAUAUAUUGUUAAUUCACACAAAUAUUAAAGUGGUUCAUAAAUGAUAGACAUCUAUCAAUAAUGAUAAACCUACAAAUUUUUUAGUAAUCAACCAUACAAAAACAAUUUAGUGUAUCGACUAUUAAAAUGGUUCAGUCUAUUGUUGAUAGAUCCAAAAAAAUCGUAAAAAUAACACUUACACAUUAUUAAUUUUUUGUGAUAUAGUUACAAAUGUGUGGCAACGAAUUUUAUCACGUGACACUAAUCUUUAAGAAACAUAAAAUUCGCAAACAAAUGAUGGCAAUUUACUUGUUUGACUUUACCAAGCUUUUCAUUAUGUUAAUUAAUUUUCAUUUAUCAGUAUUUGGAUGAUGAUAUAAUUGUGCAGUGAAUAAACUUUAAUUAGUGUUCAAAGUUUUAGGCCUUAAUUAGUUCAAUUUUGAUUAGUGUUUAAAGAUUGCAUUAGUUAAAUUUUGAUUAGUGUCCAAAGUUUUAAAGACUAAGCGUGUCUAGACAGAGGGAUAAUCUAGAGUAGACUUUUUUAAUCACUAUAGUUAAUCUACAAUAUAGUGAUUUGAUAUUGGUUUAUAAGUGGUUCAAAAUAAUGAACUUUUAAGCCUUUUUUUUUUUUAACAGAAAUGAGAAGAGAAGAACCAUAUCAUAUACCUUUGGAUCAUUAGCUCGUAACACUUUUUUUUCAAUCUAUUUCUAAAUUUGUUAUUUUCACAAUUUUAAAAAUAUAAGUGACAUGAACUCUAUUAUUAAAAGUAAUCAUGACCUGAAUGAUUGUUUAAAAGAACUAUAUAUGAUCUGAAUGAUCGUUUAUCAUAAUAAUCACGAUCGUUUACUGUGGUCAACACGAUCGUUAGAUUUAGUUUUUAAAUAUCAUUUAUAUUGGAGUACACGAUCGUUUACCAUAAUCAACACUAAUUAACACUAAUUAACACGAUCGUUCACCAUGGUCAACACGAUCAUUAGAUUUAAGGUUUUUAAAUAUCAUUUAUAUUGGAGUAUACGAUCGCUAACUAUAAUCAACAUGAUCAUGUUCCAUGAUAACACAAUCGUUUGUCAUGGUCAACAUGAUUAUUUUAAUUUGACGUUUUCUUUCCUCUAUUAAAAAAGAAUUACACAAUCGUUUGUCAUUCGUUGAGACGGUAAGACACGAUCGUUUAGAAGAAAAUUACUCGCACGCGACUGUGGUCGAUUAAUUGUGUCUUGACUAAGAUAUUUUUUAUAUUUUCUAUCGUAGGCCUUGGAGUUUUCCAUUUUCAAAAUUGUUCAGUAUAGUGUAAAUAUGUUAUUGUAAAUAUGUUAUUGAUUUGUUAUAAUUUUUUUAAAAACCCUUAUAUAUGUGUGUAUGUGUGUGUGUAUAUAUAUAUAUAUAGACUAUUCAAAUGUGAUAUAAUAUAUUGUUCAAAUGUGUAUAGAUAUAUAUAUACUGUUCAAAUGUGAUAUAAACUAAUAUUGCAAAAAUUAAAGCUCUUAGCUUGAGCUGAACGCACCAAAUUAUAAUAUAGUAAAAGGAGGUUGAGAAACCGAGUAUCUCUCCUGAAUACAAAGUGGAUGAAGUAAUUUUUAAAUAAAUAGAAACGAAAAACAUUUAAAUGACAACCAAAUUUCAUAGAAUAAAAAGAUUUAAUUCGUUUUUGCAGGAGAAGGGCAAAGUUUCUUUUCUUCAAAAAGAGGUAAUGUUGACUUAAUCUUCUAUUAUUUUUAGCUUAAUUAAUAUUUCCAACGAUGGAAUAUAUCUGACAAAAUAACAAAAUUAAACCCUUAAAAGAUAGCACUAGCCAUAAUACCAAUUUGAGAUGUCUAUCUACUGACUUAUUAUUAACUCAUAAUGGGUAAGGCGGUAUAUUAAAACGUAAUAUUGAGCUUUUAAUUUAUAUAGAAAGUAUAGGUUGGUUUUCCCUUUAUUUUUAGUUGGGAUCAGAAUAUUGUAUAUUAGAUUAAACUAAAGAGACAUAACAAUACUUAAUUCUUGUAGAAGAGUCCAAACUCAAGUAAGUAGGGUUUCUAUUUAGAGCAGUCAGCCUCAGUUGGUAAGCUAAUGUUGCAGGAUUUAGCAAUUCUUCUAGCCGCACUAGAAUUCACGAAACUCCUCAAAUCUGGAUCAUUGAUAUAUUCACAGUAGCAUGGUUGUGCCUCCCUCAACUUGUUGCAACAUGUCUGACUGGGCGUCAUCCCAAAAAAUGCUGCUGUGCAUGACGAGAGCUGUGAUGGGUCGCAUUCCACUUGAGCAACCACCGGAGGAGCGCCAUUAAGAAGAGCCACCGUGGUUGCCACCACGAAAAUGCAAACAACGAUUGUGAUAGGAAAAUUCUUCAUUUGAUUGUGUUACGAGGAAGGGAGGAAUAACGAAUUUGUGUGUUUCUGUGCUUUUGCUGAUGCUUUCAACCUCUCCUUUUAUAGCCUCUCAUAGGGAGUAAAUGUGUGCAACAAGUUAAGUUACCACACCUCCUAUUCAAUACUUUAAGUUACCACAAACUCUUCCGCACGAGUUAAACAAGUGAAUUAGUUGUCAUAAAAUUUCGCUUACUAGAUGCCCAACGCAUUAUGACAUGGUUAGAUAGACAUUGAUCAAUGUCUAGGUGGUCACACCUUCACUUAAUCACAUGACGAGACCUGAGAAUGGGGUCUGGGUGAUUGAAACAUCAAUGAUGUACAAAUAGUGUCAUUGGUGAUCAAAAUCUCUCGAUGAUUGUAAAAGAAAGAGAGAUGACAAUCAACUAGGAACAACACGUUAAAAACUCUCUAGAUGGAAGAUAUCUGAGAAUCGAGUAAUCGUCGUGUGAAGAUUUAAAUAUGUUAAAAGGUAUUUUUGAAAAUUUCAAAAAGUGAAAAUUACGUGUCCUAAGCUUCGUUUUUUUGACAUAUAACGUAAAUACUUUCAAUUUUUUUAUUUAUGUAAAAUUCCCCUUGUAAAAUAUAUAUUGUUAAUUCACAAAUAUAUUAAAGUGGUUGAUACAUGAUAGAUACCUCUCAAUAAUGAUAAUCCUACAAACUGUUUAUCAAUCAAUAUAUGCAAAAACAAUUUCGUGUAUUAACAGUAAUGGACUAUUAAAAUGGUCUAUCAGAAACGUUUGAUAGAUAAAAAGAAAAAUCCUAAAAAUAACAUAGUUACAAAUUAUUAAAUUUUUUGAUUGAUAUAGUUUACAAAUGUGGCAACGAAUUUUGUUACCUAACACUUAUGAUUAAAAAACAUAAAAUUAGCAAACAAAAUGGUGACAAUUUACUUGUUUGACUUUAUCAUGCAUUUAAUUAUGUUAAUUAACAUUCAUUUAUCUGUGUUUCGAUGAUGAUAAUUGAACAUUGAUUAAAUUUUGAUUAGUGUUUAAAGUUUUAGGCAUUAAUUAAAUUUUGAUUAAUUGGCAAAAACAGUACAAAUUUGAUAAUGAGACCAAUUUUGAAAAGAAGAGUCUUGGGACAAAUGGAUAUGUGAAAUAUCUAAAUUAUCCUUUAGUUUAAAAAAGCUCUAAAAUUUUGAAACCCACAAUUUCUUCCUCACACAACACAUCCAUCUGUAGAUGAACAAAUUGCAACCAAUGAAUGGAGGGAAUCGAUCAGAUGGAGUGGCGGUGACUUGGGUAGCAACAACCGAUAUCCAUUUGGAUGACUUGGACAACAACAACAAUUUCCCUAAAGCUAAAGUCUGGGUUUUAUGGAUUGUGCAUCAACGAUUUCUACAUCUUUCUUUAUUGCCAACUUUGUGGCCUCGUCCUCCUCCCAUUCCGCUUUCUUGCAUUUCCUAUUCAUUUCUCUCUCCUUCAUGUAAAAUACCAAUGAAUUGUAUUGAAUUUGGUUGCUAUUUUCAUUGAUCAAAAUGAAUAUUUAUACAAUGCUUGAAGAUACAAAUAUGGUAAAAAAUAAUUACAAAUCAAUUUACAACAAAUAGAGGGAUUAUAGGAGUAGAUUUUGUAAUAUGAUAUUAUUUCCUAAUAUCCCACCUCAAACCAAAGAUUCAGAGGGAGUUAGUAGUUAUUUCAAAGGUGAAGAAAUAUGAGAGACAGAAGUAGCUUUUGUGAGUAUAUCAACAAGUUGUUUGUUGGAGGAGAUGCGUCGAACAGAGAUGUCUUUACGAAGAACUUUUUCCCGAACAAAAUGGGAAUCAAUCUCAAUGUGUUUGGUUGACAAAAAUGCCAUUAGUGGAGAAUUGUAUUUCGAGACCAAGAAAAUACUUUAAAGAACCAAGAUCAGAUAUUUUAAAUUCAAGUGCCAAUUGGUUUUUAGAAGAGAAAUAUAAGAGGAGUCUGGGCCAGUGCCAAUAGUAUCAUCAAAACAUACAUGAGUAAGUAAGUAAGAGAAGAUCCAACAUGUCAAAUGAAUAAAGAUGGAUCAACCAGCUGUCCUAAAACAUAUAACAUUUGUCACUCACAGCCCCACAACCAAUCCUCUCAAUUAAGACACUUUGAAUUCAAAUUCUUCCCUUUCAAUUCAUGAUUCAUCUAUACAUAUAAAUAUAAGGGGAAAUUUUUUAAUUUACCUCUUCCUUUUAUAUAUUUUAUUUAUUUAAAUCUAAAUUAAUAAUAUAUGAUUUUAAUCUUUAACUUCUGUAAAAAUUUCAAUUGACACUACUUUUAAGAUUUGAAUUUUGAUCAAAGUUGCAUGAAACAUAUAAUUGUUUAUGUUAAUCUUAAAUUAUAAUAACAGAAAUUAUUUAUAUCCUUUAUUAAGAUUAAAUAAAUUAUCCAUGUGUUUAAAUCUUCCACUCUCGAAAUAGAAUUUAAAUGUUAAAUUUAUCAAAUAAAUAAGUAGGAGUUCAUGUAUGGAUUUUGUUAAACAAAGUAAUAGAAUAUCUAAAUUGAUUUGUUUAUAAAGAUGUCUAGAAACGUUUAAUUGAUGCGAAGAAGGGCACCAUACUAAAAGUAUUUAGAAAAAUAUUAGUAAAAUAUCACAUCGAGUGAUAUACUAUUAAUAAUAGUAUAAUGUAAUCUAUACAAAAGUUUUUUUUUUUUUUUUGUUUAUUUUAGUAUAUUUAAAAACAAACUGCAUUCGUAAUAUGGUUAUGAUACAAUCUAUAAUUCAAAUUUUAAGGGUUCUUUUUAUAUAAACUAUUUGAAUAUGAAUAUGGUUAUGAUACAAUCUAUAAUUCAAAUUUUAAGGAUUCUUGUUUUAAGGGUUCUUUUUAUAUAAACUAUUUACCUUUCAAAGAACCUAUACCUAUUUAUACUUUAUACAACAAAAUUACAAAAUAUCUUUCCAAAUUUUUAAAAUCUACUUUGAUUAAAUUUAAAUUCAUAAAAACUAACCAAAACUAAUUCAUAAAAACUAACCAAAACUAACAAACCAGGUUAAUAGAACUAAAGUAAAUCCACUCUUUACAUAUCUUAAUCAACAACGUUUAGUUCCAACUCUUUACAUAUCUUAAUCAACAACGAGAAGACUUACUUAUUUUUGUAUAUCUUUAUAUGGAGUUUUGUAAAAAUAGCAAAAAUGUAUGAUAAUAGAAAUCAUGUCAUAAGAUUUUUUAAAUUUACAAAAUUAUAAGAUUUUUUAAAUUUACAAAAUUUGCAAAUUAAUUUACAAAAUUAUAAAAUUUUUAAAUUUACAAAAUUUGCAAAUUAAUUUAGAAGGGAUGACUGUCUACUGUCAUACAAUUACUGUCUACUGUCAUACAAUUACUGUCUAUUAGUCCUGCAACAACUCCACAACAACUCUAGAUUACCGAUGAUUAUCGUUUAAUAGUAGUCUGAUAUCAUUAACUUUGUCAUAUUUGAAGUAUGCAAAAAAAAUAGUGUUGUCAAACUUAUUUGGAAAUAUUUUUGCAAUUUUCUUUUUAUAAAAGACAGCAUGAAAAAAUCUAGUAAGUUUUAAUAAAAAGCAAAAAUCUUCCCCUAACAAAUUUUUUUUUUUUUGUUGAAAAACUAUGUAAGUUGGAGAGAUAAAGAUAUUUGCAACCUAAUCAUCACCAAGAUAUUGUUCAAUUUUACUUUACAGCAACCUAAAAAAGAGAAAAAAGGUGAAACAUUUAACAAAGAAAACACCAAUCUAAAAAUAUCUUUAUAGAAACAUACCAUACCUAUUAUUUUAAUUCAUUAAAAGAAAAAGAAAAGAGAUAUAUGAUCAACAUGAACCUACUUUAAUAACUUAAUUAAAAAAAAAAAAGAAACACAUAGAUCGUUUUUUUCUUUUAUUGUUUUAUUCAUAGGAAUAACUAUAAAAUUAUUCCAGCUUAAUUUCCACACAUAUGGCCCAAAAGAAAGACCCUCUAACACCUUGGAGUGGGAACACCACAUUUGGAAGCAACAUGUUUGGCGCGAGGAGAAUUCAAAUAACUACUCAAAGCUGGGUUCUUUAUGUACCCGCAAAGACAUGGUUGCUGCUCUCUCAAUUUGUUGCAGCAAGUGGCGGAUGGGUCUGCCAUCGACGUGAUUGCCGUGAGACAUGAGCUCAGCUCCGAAGGGCUGCAACUCACCGCCUCUGCAACACGAACUCCGCCAAGAACGGCCAGCACGAAAAACAAACAACUGUGACUGGAAGAACUUUGUUCAUUGUCUCUUGGUUUUGAUAGAAAUCAGUAAUGUUUGUUGAAGGGAAAGGGAAAAGGAAAAGGAGAAAGAGGAAUAAUAUGGCUUUAAUUGUCUGUUUUUCCCCCCAACUCUUUUUUGUUUGUAUUUAUAGCCACAUAAAGUUGGAAGAGUUGAUAAAAGGGCCAACCCUAUUAUUAAUUUCUCAUUUCCAAUUUCACCUACUUUUCUCUUUGAUUUUAAUUGCUUCCAACAUCCUUUUCCAUAAAGUUAAUAUUGUGAUGAUAACAAUUAACAAAUAUUGUUGGCAUUGAUUUAAAUGUUGGGUUGCUCUACACGUUUGAUCUAUUCUAGAGCACAAAAAUUACCACAAUUAUUUUAACAUUUUUUGAAUUAUCCUAAAUCAUAAAAGGAAUUAGAGACGAAUAUAUUUUGCUUGUUUUUAUUUCUUUUUACAAUGGUUUGGUAUAAAUAUGCAAUACAAGAUAAUAUUAAAUAUGAAAAGAUUGGGAUAUAAUCAAAUAUACAAUUUGGGCAAAAAUAAAGGGCAGAAAUUGAGGAGUAGAUUAUGAAGAGGAUUGUGAUUUUGGAAAAUAUCCUCUAAUAUCCUCCCUCAGAUUGAUGACUCAAAAUGAGUCAAUAGUUUGUCUCGGAGUUGUAGAAGUGUUGUAGAUGAGAGUGACUUUGUUUGUAGAUCAACAAGUUGAUCGUUGGAAGAGAUAAUGUAACGAAUGAAGAUGUCUUUGCGAAGUACCUUCUCUUGAAAAAAGUGGUAAUCAAUUUCAAUAUGUUCGGUACGAGCAUGAAACACGAGAUUAUGAACCUGAGAUAUAGCUAAAACAUUAUCACACCAUAAGGUUGUUGAAGAUUUAAAGUGGAACAUGAAGAUCACAUAGAACUUGUCGGUUCCAGUAAAGAUCUGCAGUGGUAGUGGCGAGUGAGCAAGUUUUUGCUUAUGUGGAAGAACGAUAGACUGUAGGUUGCUUUCUAAAAGACCAAUAGAUAGGAUUAGAACCAAGAAAGACAAUGAAUCCAGAGGUGGAAUGUCGAUCAGAAGUGUCGCUAGCACAAUCAGAGUCAUUAAAAGGUUUAUAGAUAUAAUUAAUGAACCCAUGCAAAAUUUUAUCCCAAGGGUUGAGUACCACAUAGAUAUCGUAGGAUGCAUUUGAUUGCAGAGAAGUGAAUAACAGUGGGUUUGUGCAUCAAUUGACUAACACAAUUUAUAGAGAAUGAAAUAUCAUGGUGAGUAAAGUAAGGUAUUUUAAUGAAAGGAGUUAGAUGAUGGAUCAUUAAAUGACAAAACUGUUGAAAUUUAUGUCAUAAAACUCGUAGUUUGUAGUUUAAAAGUAUAUUUUAUUCAAUAAAGUGGUUAUUGAGGAUUAUUAAUAGAAUACUAUAAUCUUGAAUCUAAAUAAACUAAGGUCCUUAUGCUACCUAGUGUAGACUUGAAUUUACAUAAAUGUGGAUCAAGUUCAAGUAUAUAGCCCAAAUGGUCUAUAGUGUAUGAAUAAGCCUUAUUCUUGUUGUAGUUAGUACAAACGAUAUGAUCCUGAAUCGUUCAUGUAGAGACCAUGGAAGUUGGAGUAUCCUAUGUACAAAGUUUGCAUAAGACUGAAAUCAUAAAAUAAUCACUUUUAAGUUAUAACACCAUUGAUUGUACAAAACUGACUAUUUUGUUUAUUGAUGACCCAUGUAACUUAAUCUUAAUCCUAAGUUAACUAUGAACUUUGUUCACACAAAUUAUCCUUAGAUCUGCAUAGGUGAGUGUAGCUCAACGACACUGACACAAUAAGCCUCCCAUUUUAGGAGUAAGAUUGGGUGGAUGGCUAGGUGUAACGAUCCAAACUUUUCAAACUAAACUGAGGUAGUUCUUUAAUACAAAUGCACUUCUUUUAAACAUGAGUGUUUAUAAAAUAUGUUAAAAUCAAUAAACAUCAAAUAAAUCUUUAUUCAGGCCCUAUUUCAAACAAAAUUAAAGGUUCGAAAUUAUUGUUUAUAAAAUCAAGAAAUAAACUGUUGUGCUAAACAUGAAAUUCGUUUCAGUCACAACUACUAAAGUAAAACAAAAGAAAACUGUAAGCGGAAGCUAUUUUAAAGAAAAUCCUCCUAUGGCGAUCACGUCUCCUUCUUAUUCCUCGUUGGUCGGUCUCUUAUAUUACUUUUGCCUGGAAAGUUAAACAUAAAAGGGUGAGUAUAAACAUACCCAGCAAGAGACCACUACUGGUCCCACUAGGGUAAAAUUAUUAACUUUCUAUUGGAGGUACCAUGUAUCAUAACAGUCUUGUGAUCCCGUAGGAUGCACAUAAUUAAUCUAAUGCUCAUAAAAGAUGCACAUAUCAGUCUAGUGCUCCCGAAGGAUGCACCUAUCAGUCUAGUGUUCCAAAUGAUGCACAACAGGUGGUGAUCCCGUGGGGCACCUGCAAGACACACUACCCUACAGAUAAAGCUAACAGAUUUCCCUCAGUCCAUACUAACAUUUAAAACAGUCAACUCAACUUAGAAUAUAAACUACCAUUAUAUCCUUCUUUCAGCUCAACACAUAUACAGUUAAUUUACCCAAACCAAUACAUAAUCAAACAUCAGCAGAACAGUCCUCAAAUAAUUAAAUUUAUACAUAAGCGUCACUCACCUUAGUUCAGUCAAUUCAAUCUAGUUUGUCAAUUCAACCUACAUUACACUACCUAUGCCUUAACAUAACCGUCAACAACCCACAAUCUAAUCAAUUCGAUAUCCUCAGUUCAGUCAUCAAUAUAUUUUACAUAUCGGUCAACUCAUCUCAGUUCAAUAAAAUUUAUAUAAUAAACAGUCAUCAAAUAUAAAUUUGCUUAUCAGUUAGUCCAUCUAAGUUUAGUGGAAUCCAUAUAGUCAAUACAUCUUAAUUUCAUCAUUGAGUCCAGUAGUAGGAACCCUUACCUUAACUUCAUUUAUUCCACUAAAGUUCAACAAAAACAACCUAAACAUAAGUAAACAGAAAUCAAUGACUUCUAGAAACAAUUUCAUCUAUUCAAUUCAUCCUAUAUAUAUAAUUUCCACAACUUACCCAAAACGUGGAGAAUUGGAGUCCAACCCCACUCACUUGAAACUCAAGGAAUUUAAGUGUUGUCCACAAUUUGCACCUUCAAGAAACAAUAUCAAUCAAUUUACUAACCCAACCAAUAUUGGUUAUUGAAAACAAUCACCAAAACCCAAAACUACACCCUUACCACAAACCACGACAAGGUAGAAACAACGGCUUUCGAAACCAACACAAAAGAGAUUGUGCAAAAUAGAUAUGCGUGUGGGUUGGCUUGCAACUCGUAAACGGACAACAGAUGUAGACGAAGGCAGAUUGAUUCGAAUCUUCAACAGCAGCUACGCGCAACGGAGAAUUCCACUACAUCUAGCCCUACUUCGUUUUCGAACAUAUUCUUAUGUGAAAUUUAUUGUUUCAAUUCUUUAUUGCUUUGGUUUAACACCGCUUUGGAUUCUUUGCAGCAAAAGGUGGUAAAAACUACUUUAGAAGCGUCCCAAGCAGUUUGGAAUCAGUGGAGCAUUGCCGUCCAAGAGGGAUCUCACUCACUUUGUCAAAUGGCCCAAAGUUGUUUAAAUUUAGAGAAAAAAUAGAAUUUUGAAGCAGAGGCUAAAAAUUCCACCAACAUUGAAUCUGUUCUAUUUGACUUUCUUUUUUCUCUUUUUUUCUUGUUGUCAUCAUCAAAAUUUUCAACCAUACGUAUAAAGACGGAGAUAUUUUAUGUGGACAACUAUACGGCCGUCCGAACUACUUUUAACUUAUGUGGCUGGAUCUAAAACUUAGAAGAUUGUCCAAGUUUUCUGUUGAACAAUGCAUGUACCAGAUUUUGUGCAUUCCCAACAUGAUACAUUCUUAUGUUAUGUUGGGAAAGGGGUUCUCUGUUUAUAAUCACAAUCACUUUAGCCCUUAUUUGGGGGUCAAGGUUGCCUUUCACUUCUCCUCCCUCAUUUUGUAUAAGCAAGUAUUUCUUUGUCUAAAAGGGUUCAAACUCUCCUACUAUUAUAAUCAUUCAACAUUCUCUGUAAUGAUCAAUUCUUUAUUCCUCUUAGAUUUAUUAGGUUUUACUUUUAAUUGCUGCAUAUAGUUCUCUUACCUUCGUAUAGACAAAAAGGUGUUUCUGAGAGGUUUUUCUUUGAUAAGUUAAACGCUUGUAUUUUGUUGGAUUUGGCCUAUGGUUUGAAAAUCUCAAAUCAAUUGAACGCAUUGUCUUGUUUACACAUUUGAAUUGAAACUUUCCUAUACCUAUAUUAUACAUAUUCUUUCUAUUCUUUCCCAAAAUGUGUUAUACGACUUAUCUAUUCUACAUAAUUUCACGCAUGGCUAGCACGAUGUUCCCGUUUUCAAGGGAUGCCAAAAUUACUUUUCACUCAUUCUCGUAACUCCAUUGACGGAUAUAUUUCCUAAACCGGAUCUGCCUGCUCAUGCAUUUCCUAAUCAUGUGAUAAUGUUGAAUCUUCCUUUAUUAUAUAUAUAUAUUAUUGAUGUAAUUAAGAAUUGUUAUUUAAUAGUAAUUAAGAAGUUGUUCUUUAAUAGAAAUAUGUACGUUCGUGAAAAUGUUCAUAUAUAUAUAAAUGGGUUCAAAAUUUGAGGUUACAAAAAAUAAAAUGAAAUAAAUAAUAUAAGGUAUUUUUUUUAAAAAAAAAUCAAACCCGCGAUGCCAUAUGUAAGCGUCGAGACUUGUAUAUAAGAUCUCCCGACGACUAAAGAUGCGAACUCCCAACAUCGUAUACAGUAUCUUCCCGACGCUGCAUUUCUUAGUGUCGUAAAGGUUUCUUUUGAUACAUUUUAUCAGAGCACAGUUUUGACAGACAUUUUUUGGGAGAUCCUUUUACAACUCUUUUUUCGUAUAUCUCCCAACGAUUGUGUGCGUUGGAAGACCCCUCAUUUUUUGUAGUGAAUUUGUAACUCGAAUACUCUUAAUAAAAUUUCUCAAAACUGGUUCUCAAUGUGGAUGUAGACCAAAUUAGUCAAACCACUUAUAUCCUUGUGUUUUUAUUCUCUUAUGCUUUGUGUAUUUUAUGGCUAUUGCAUUAUGCUUGGGUUGUGUUAUUAAUUAAUUUAGUCCAUUAAUUAAUACAAAUAAUCAUGUCAGUUUUUAUUCAAGAGUUGAUUGGGCUGCACUAUAUACGAUCCAAAUGAAAAAGUUAAUUCCACGUCUUUUACUUCUCUAGAUAUAUUUCACAUUCUUUUAUAGUAAUGCCAUUACAUAUUUGUAUAAUGAUAAAAAUUGAAGCAUAUAGAACAAAGAAAAUACCAGAUCACUUUCCUUUUUAUUGAUAGUCGUUUGAUAUUGUAGUAUAUAUAUAUAUAUAUAUAUAUAUAUAUAAGAAAAGUCCAUUACAAAGCAUGACCUCUAGCAUUUGGGAUAGGGAACACCACAGGAGGAAAUAAUAGCUUUUGCUCGAGCAGAUUUCACGUAACCUCCCAAGCUUGGAUUCUUCAUAUACUGACAAAAGCAUGGCUGUUGCUCCCUCAGCUUACUGCAACAAGUGGUGGACGGUGGCCGUCGAUGUCAUUGCACCAAUGCAUGGACUCAGCCCCAUGGUGUUGCAAGUUAUCGCGUCGGCAACACGAGCUCCAGUUAUGAGGGCCGCCAUUGCCACCACCAAAGGGGAAGACUUGUGAACCCAAGAUUUUUCAUUAUUUUUCUUCUUUUGAUAUAGAAAUGAGGGAUAGGUUUCUAUUUGCCGCACCUUCAAAACAACUUUUUAUAGCCUCAUAAAGUGGAAUGUGUCACUUCUAUACCAACUUCUCUGUUUUGGCUUAAACUUUUCAAUAAAAUUAAUUUCGAGUUGUUAACUUUCAAUAAAAUUAAUUUCGAGUUGUUAACUUUAUGAUGGUAACAUCUAUAGUUUGCAUUAAAUAUAUGGUUGGUGGUGGUAAUAGUGACAAACUCCCAACUUUGUAACAGUGACCAAAAGUUCAUAUAAAAAUUAUUUUAAAUACAAAUAAGUACACAAUUAUUUUUUGGAGUUGUAAAAAUAACAAAAAUAUAUAUAAUAUAUAUAUAUAUAUAAUAAAAUCUUAAAUGGUAAAAAUAACAAAUUUAAAACAGUAACUCUAAUAACUCUAAUAACUCUCUCAUGACUUUUGAUAGAUUUUUUUAUUGUCGAUAUCAUUAAUUACAAAAAAACUUUUUCUAAAUUCUUUUGUCAUCUAAUAUAAUUUUUUAUUUUUCUAACUAGAAAAUAUUAAAGCUUUUCACCAAUAUUUGAAGUUAGGAGGUUGGAAACUUUUACCUUGAUUAGUAGCAUAUGCCUUACAUACUGUUUGCAACAUUUUCUAUAUUUUCUUCUAAUAUUAUCAACUAACAACAAUUCUAAUCGAAGUCGGUAUGUACAAGAAUUUGUUUUACAUUAUUGUUUAAAUACCUGACAUUUGGUUUUUUAAUAUUUCAUAAUUCCAGAAUUCUAUGUUGAAUUUGUGCUCCUUAUUCACCAAUCUUUGAUCUAAAUACAUGAAUCUUAGGAUUACACGAAUCGAGAGUCCUAUUUGUGGAUCUAAAUGUAUGUAUUUUCUUGGUUGCAUUGCAUUAAUUUUGGCCUUUAUGUUCUUCGUUUGCAUUUUAAUUAAUUGCUUUGCCGGUUGAGUUCACCAUGAACAGGAUUAAUAGGGUCGUAACACAACGGAAUUUUUAGAGAAUCUGAAUGAAUGAGUAGAGAAUGUGGUAAUAUUUAAGGUUAUGGUUGAUGCAGAGUAUUGGAGAACAGUCGACCUCUAGAGGGCCAACAUCCAAUGAGCCUGCAGCAAG
rnacentral:lncRNA from 1 species